rnacentral:rRNA from 1 species
GAGACCCACGCCCACAGUUGCCAGCGUACUCUCAGGAGUGACGGGUACACUGUGGGGACCGCCGCUGCUAAAGCGGAGGAAGGAAUGGGCAACGGUAGGUCAGUAUGCCCCGAAUAUCCCGGGCUACACGCGAGCUACAAUGGUUGGUACAAUGGGUAUCUACCCCGAAAGGGGAUGGAAAUCUCCUAACGCCAAUCUUAGUUCGGAUCGAGGGCUGCAACUCGCCCUCGUGAAGCUGGAAUCCGUAGUAAUCGCACAUCAACAGUGUGCGGUGAAUAC